GUAGUCUCGCACAGAUGCAUAUCAAUAAGCGGAGGAAAAGAAACUAACAAGGAUUCCCCUAGUAACGGCGAGUGAAGCGGGAAGAGCUCAAAUUUGAAAUCUUAAAGGGUUUCCCUUUACGAAUUGUAGUUUAAAGAAGUGUUUUCUGUUGAGGUUUUGGUAGAAGUUCUUUGGAAUAGGACAUCAUAGAGGGUGAGAAUCCCGUAUUUGACCUUUACUUUCAACUUUGUGAUACACUUUCAAAGAGUCGGAUUGUUUGGGAAUGCAGUCCAAAAUGGGUGGUAAAUUUCAUCUAAAGCUAAAUAUUGGCGAGAGACCGAUAGCGAACAAGUACCGUGAGGGAAAGAUGAAAAGAACUUUGAAAAGAGAGUUAAACAGUACGUGAAAUUGUCAAAAGGGAAGCGUUUGACACCAGUGUUGUUUUUCUGAAAAUCAAUUAAAGAACUGUUUAUGCUAAGUUGUUUAGACUUUAUCAGCUAAUCUGUUUAGUUUUGAGCUUUUCUUUAAUGCACUUUUCAGUUAACAAGUCAACAUCAAUUUCUUUUGCUGUAAAAAAGCUUGAGGAAGGUGGCUUGAGAUUCGUCUUAAGUGUUUAUAGCCUCUUGCCUAUGCAGUCGGAGAGAUUGAGGUCUGCAGCGUAGAUCCUUCGGGGCUAAAUGCAUUUGUGCUAAGUUAUAACAUUUUAUAGACAACUUGUUGACUAUGAUUUGUCUUGUAGCUUACUCGCUUAUGUUAUUUACCUACGCUUAGGAUGUUGAUCUGUAGUGCGUGCGC
rnacentral:rRNA from 1 species